GGAGUGCCCUUAACCAGGGCCCUUCAAACGGUCCAGCUUAUCCCUCCUGAAAUUCGUUUUCUCUUUCCCUGCUGCCCAGAUUGUGUCUUCCAGAUCCGUGGCACCAGUGGACCCUCAUACUUUUCGAGGGAGGUAGACCUGGAGGCCAAAGGCAUGGGGACCACAGUGUGACCUUGUGAGUGAAGACAGUGACCCUGGAUGAAGAACAGGAUCUCGGGUGCUGGUCACAGGUCUCUGCCUUGGUGUAUUAGGACUGGUGGCCUGGCUAUGGGACGCCACAGGACACUGCCUGUGAUACUUUGCAGGAUGGCAAGCUUGGACGGCCUCUAAAUCGGAAGCUUGGAAGCGGCCCAUAGGCCUUCAUUUCCCCUCCCCACCCGGGCAGCUGGGGCUGGAUCUUUCCUCUGCCUGGCGCUGCUUCUUUCAUCGUGGAUAUAAAAAAACAGGCAGACCUUUUUCUACCUGGUACACAAGUCUCUUGGCCUUUUAUGUUUUUUUUUUUUAUUAUAAAAGUACCACAUGUUGAUUGAAACAAUUUUAAACAAUAAAGAACGGCAUAAAAAAACCCAUUUAAUCCUCUCCCCUCC